rnacentral:misc_RNA from 1 species
AACUUUUGGCAACGGAUCUCGUGGCUCUCGCAUCGAUGAAGCACGCAGCGAAAUGCGAUAAGUAAUGUGAAUUGCAGAAUUCAGUGAAUCAUCGAAUCUUUGAACGCACCUUGCGCUGCUUGGUAUUCCGAGGAGCAUGCCUGUUUGAGUGUCAUUAAAUUCUCAACCUUUAUCCGCUUUUGCUGAUAAUGGCUUGGAUAUGGGGGUCUAUUUUGCUGGCUUCCUUACGGAUGGUCGGCUCCCCUUAAAUGCAUUAGCCGGUGCCCCGCGUGGACUGUCUAUUGGUGUGAUAAUUAUCUACGCCGUGGACAUCUGCAAUCAUAUGGGUUUGCACUGCUUCCAACCGUCUGUUCAAUCAGACAAUACAUGACAAUUUGACCUCAAAUCAGGUAGGACUACCCGCUGAACUUAAGCAUAUCAAUAAGCGGAGGCU